ensembl:lncRNA
AUUCAGAUUCUUGUACACAGACAGUUUUCCCUUAAACAGUAUUAACAUGAGUGAGACGAUCCCCGUUUGCUGUGUUCAUGGAGAUGAGGAGCCUUAUCCAACAGGAGACCUAUACACCAAGGCACACAGUCCAAGUAACUAGGGCUCAAGCUAUGAAGCCAGCAGAUCCCCCUCAGACCCUUACUUCUCUGCCAUUUUGAGGCAGAAUUAGGGACAGCACCUGGGAAGUUGCACAAUUCCCACGUCCAGAAAAGAAAGCCAAAAAGUAGGAGCAAGAACUAAUUUUAUGCCAACUUUAUUAAAGUCAAGGACCACUCCAUACCAUCCUCAAACAGAUGGCCUGACUGGGCACUUCAACC